rnacentral:piRNA from 1 species
UAUUCUGAGCAGACUGAAACACU